UGAGCGGCCCCUGCAGUAAUUGUGCACCA
rnacentral:piRNA from 1 species